rnacentral:rRNA from 1 species
CGACCGGGUGAGUAACACGUGACUAACCUACCUUCAAGUGGGGGGAUAACCUCGGGAAACCGGGGCUAAUACCGCAUAAUAUCUUUGGGAUGGAAAUGCUGAAGAUCAAAGGAGCAAUUCGCUGGAAGAGGGGGUCGCGGCUGAUUGCUAGUUGGCGGGGUAAUGGCCCACCAAGGCUUUGAUCGGUAGCCGGCCUGAGAGGGCGCACGGCCACACUGGAACUGAAACACGGUCCAG